GAUGAACGCUGGCGGCGUGCCUAAUACAUGCAAGUCGAGCGAACGGACGAGAAGCUUGCUUUUCUGAUGUUAGCGGCGGACGGGUGAGUAACACGUGGAUAACCUACCUAUAAGACUGGGAUAACUUCGGGAAACCGGAACUAAUACCGGAUAAUAUUUUGAACCGCAUGGUUCAAAAGUGAAAGACGGUCUUGCUGUCACUUAUAGAUGGAUCCGCGCUGCAUUAGCUAGUUGGUAAGGUAACGGCUUACCAAGGCAACGAUGCAUAGCCGACCUGAGAGGGUGAUCGGCCACACUGGAACUGAGACACGGUCCAGACUCCUACGGGAGGCAGCAGUAGGGAAUCUUCCGCAAUGGGCGAAAGCCUGACGGAGCAACGCCGCGUGAGUGAUGAAGGUCUUCGGAUCGUAAAACUCUGUUAUUAGGGAAGAACAUAUGUGUAAGUAACUGUGCACAUCUUGACGGUACCUAAUCAGAAAGCCACGGCUAACUACGUG
rnacentral:rRNA from 1 species